GAUGAACGCUGGCGGCGUGCCUAAUACAUGCAAGUCGAGCGAACGGACGAGAAGCUUGCUUCUCUGAUGUUAGCGGCGGACGGGUGAGUAACACGUGGAUAACCUACCUAUAAGACUGGGAUAACUUCGGGAAACCGGAGCUAAUACCGGAUAAUAUUUUGAACCGCAUGGUUCAAAAGUGAAAGACGGUCUUGCUGUCACUUAUAGAUGGAUCCGCGCUGCAUUAGCUAGUUGGUAAGGUAACGGCUUACCAAGGCAACGAUGCAUAGCCGACCUGAGAGGGUGAUCGGCAACACUGGAACUGAGACACGGUCCAGACUCCUACGGGAGGCAGAAGUAGGGAAUCUUCCGCAAUGGGCGAAAGCCUGACGGAGCAACGCCGCGUGAGUGAUGAAGGUCUUCGGAUCGUAAAACUCUGUUAUUAGGGAAGAACAUAUGUGUAAGUAACUGUGCACAUCUUGACGGUACCUAAUCAGAAAGCCACGGCUAACUACGUG
rnacentral:rRNA from 1 species